GGUAGCUAAUACCGCAUAACGUCGCAAGACCAAAGAGGGGGACCUUCGGGCCUCUUGCCAUCGGAUGUGCCCAGAUGGGAUUAGCUGUGGUGGGGUAACGGCUCACCAGGCGACGAUCCCUAGCUGGUCUGAGAGGAUGACCAGCCACACUGGAACUGAGACACGGUCCAGACUCCUACGGGAGGCAGCAGUGGGGAAUAUUGCACAAUGGGCGCAAGCCUGAUGCAGCCAUCCCGUGUAUGAAGAAGGCCUUCGGGUUGUAAAGUACUUUCAGCGGGGAGAAGGGAGUAAAGUUAAUACCUUUGCUCAUUGACGUUACCCGCAGAAGAAGCACCGGCUAACUCCGUGCCAGCAGCCGCGGUAAUACGGAGGGUGCAAGCGUUAAUCGGAAUUACUGGGCGUAAAGCGCACGCAGGCGGUUUGUUAAGUCAGAUGUGAAAUCCCCGGGCUCAACCUGGGAACUGCAUCUGAUACUGGCAAGCUUGAGUCUCGUAGAGGGGGGUAGAAUUCCAGGUGUAGCGGUGAAAUGGUAGAGAUCUGGAGGAAUACCGGUGGCGAAGGCGGCCCCCUGGACGAAGACUGACGCUCAGGUGCGAAAGCGUGGGGGGCAAACAGGAUUAGAUACCCUGGUAGUCCACGCCGUAAACGAUGUCGACUUGGAGGUUGUGCCCUUGAGGCGUGGCUUCCGGAGCUAACGCGUUAAGUCGACCGCCUGGGGAGUACGGCCGCAAGGUUAAAAUAUGAAUUGACGGGGGCCCGCACAAGCGGUGGAGCAUGUGGUUUAAUUCGAUGCAACGCGAAGAACCUUACCUGGUCUUGACAUCCACGAASUUCAGAGAUGAGAGUGCCUUCGGGAACGUGAGACAGGUGCUGCAUGGCUGUCGUCAGCUCGUGUUGUGAAAUGUUGGGUUAAGUCCCGCAACGAGCGCAACCCUUAUCCUUUGUUGCCAGCGGUCCGGCCGGGAACUCAAAGGAGACUGCCAUGAUAAACUGGAGGAAGGUGGGGAUGACGUCAAGUCAUCAUGGCCCUUACGACCAGGGCUACACACGUGCUACAAUGGCGCAUACAAAGAGAAGCACCUCGCGAGAGCAAGCGGACCUCAUAAAGUGCGUCGUAGUCCGGAUUGGAGUCUGCAACUCGACUCCAUGAAGUCGGAAUCGCUAGUAAUCGUGGAUCAAAUGCCACGGUGAAUACUUCCCGGGCCUUGUACACACCGCCCGUCACACCAUG
rnacentral:rRNA from 1 species